CCUAUCAUACCAGACUGGAUACACUUGAUCGUUUUGGAUUUCACAAGCUAAGCAGACCUGGGCCCAGCUGGUACUUGGAUGGGAGACCACAACGGAAUACGCAGCAUUAUCCAGGC
rnacentral:rRNA from 1 species